rnacentral:lncRNA from 1 species
GAUUUUGACGGCCGCCGCGGAUCUUCAUCUGAGCCGUGGCUCAGUCGUCAUCCGGGGAAAUUGGUCCGUGGAUCAGGAAAAGCGCUUUUCCGGCAGGGGUUGGUGCACGAUAUUAAUUGUACCCUCCUCGUCGGUGGCGCACAGGGUGUGAAGUCCUGUUUUGAGGAGACGAUUGCGUUCGGGGAGGUAAACUCCAUUGCCGGCGACGGAGUUCCUGAUGCAGCCAAUAAGCAGGUAACUUUGUGAUUUCCGUUGAUGAAAACUGAAUGCGGUUGGUUCUUUUGUGCGAUUUUGUUGAUUUCCUCUUUCUUGUUUGGAUCUGCGCUCGGAUCCAGGUUUCCCUUUUGAUUGAAGGAUCCAGAUUCCCCUUUUGAUUGAGGAGGUGGACGAGAGUGUUGGUUGAUGUGGGCCGGGAAACCGUCCGCCCGUCCGAGUAGAGCCGUGGCUUACUCCGGAGCUCGGCUCGGACAGCCAGAUCGCGGCCCAAGCGGUGGUGGUAGUGGAAAAGGGAAGGUUCACCUGAAGCGCCAGAGCUCUCCACAGGCAAGAUGAACCCUCAAGCUCUCGAAUGGAUUAAAAGGUACUCCAUAAUUUUUAUUUUCAGAGUGUCAACUGCCUACAGGAAUAAUUCAUUUUCAGUGUAUGGAUUUGGUAUUUCAUAAGAGAGUGGUUGCUGAUCUACAUUUUAGUUUGAUGGGCACAUAAAAUUGACUUUAACAACAUUGCGGACAUGAACGUAUGACAGGGUUAGUAUUGGUUGCCUAUUCUCACCAGAAAAAAACUUCUGUACAGUCUAAUUAAUAAACGGAAAACACCUUAUCAACAAUCAAGAGGGUCUCGUUACAAAAGUUUGGGAUUUGAAUUUGUCUCCUAUGAUGUGAUGUGGCCUGGCUUUUUGUAACAUUAAAAACCCCUUGUAUAAGCAUUGGUCUUUCCAUUAACUGUUUCGCUAACAGCCAGACAUGGUAGUUGUCAUUAGAUGAAACAAAGAAGUGUUGGUUGUUUUGUACUCCCUCUACAGGCGCAUACACUUAUUUCUGUCCACAGGAGUUAUUUCCCGAAUGUUCCAUUCAGAUGCAUUUCAUUGUUCUUGCUCACGUUCUUACCAAGCAAGUUAUAAAUUCUUUUCAAAUUAUAGAUCACCUGGCGAGCCUAAAUUCUUGGGAGGCAUUUGUAAUACCUCCUUUUUUUUCUUACAGAUUAUUACUUUCCAUUUAACUGUUUGAAAGUGUAUUAUAUGUACAUUUUAAUUUGGUUUUAGUUCUGUUAAACUCAAACUAUUUGACAUAUUGCAGACCGUAGCGACGAAGAGGCGGAGGAUGAUAGCUUUAAGCAUGUAAGCCUUUAGUAAUGUGACUUGUGGAUUUUUGUUUUCCUUCUAUAUAUUACUUGUUAUUUAUGGACUCCAUAGAUCCAAUUGCCAUUGGCUUAUAUAAUUCAGGAGAUAAAGGGUGAAGCGCGACGCAUUCGAGCAAUCGAUUGAUCAGAUCUCUCGAUCCAAAAGCUCCUAGAUAGACGCACAUGUAAUCACUUAAUCACUAAAUUAAUCACUGAAUUUUUAAUACUCUGUUACUGCAUACCGCGGGAUAGUAUGAACUGCUGGAGCUGUGUGCAGGCGUUGUGGAGUUUUACUGUCAGGGCAG